rnacentral:rRNA from 1 species
CUGAUUAGAUAGAGUACUGUAGAGGAAGGCGGAAUUCUUGGAGUAGCGGUGGAAUGCGCAGAUAUCAAGAAGAACACCAAAAGCGAAGGCAGCCUUCUAGGCAGAUACUGACACUCAGGAGCGAAGGUGUGGGUAGCGAACAGGAUUAGAUACCCUGGUAGUCCACACAGUCAACGAUGAUCACUAAGUUUUGGUGAGAUUAUAAAUUAUCAGAGCUGCCGCAAAUGCAUUAAGUGAUCCGCCUGGGGAGUACGUCCGCAAGGAUGAAACUCAAAGGAAUUGACGGGGACCCGCACAAGCGGUGGAGUAUGUUCUUUAAUUCGAUGCAACGCGAAGAACCUUACCUGGGCUUGACAUCACCGAAAUCACCUUUAUACGGUGAGUGCCUCGAUUUAUCGAGGAAUCGUGUGACAGGUGCUGCAUGGCUGUCGUCAGUUCGUGUCGUGAGAUGUUGGGUUAAGUCCCGCAACGAACGCAACCCCUGUCUUUAGUUACCAGCAUUAAGUUGGGGACUCUAGAGAGACUGCCAAGGUGACAACUUGGAGGAAGGUGGGGACGACGUCAAGUCAUCAUGGUCCUUACGUCCAGGGCUAGAAACGUACUACAAUGGUUGGCACAGAGGGCAGCAACACAGCGAUGUGAAGCAAAUCCUUAAAACCAACCUCAGUUCGGAUUGGAGUCCGC